rnacentral:rRNA from 1 species
CGCUGGCGGCAUGCCUAACACAUGCAAGUCGAACGAGACCUUCGGGUCUAGUGGCGCACGGGUGCGUAACGCUGGGAAUCUGCCCUUGGGUUCGGAAUAACUUCGGGAAACUGAAGCUAAUACCGGAUGAUGACGUAAGUCCAAAGAUUUAUCGCCUUUAGAUGGGCCCGCGUUGGAUUAGCUAGUUGGUGGGUAAAGGCCUACCAAGGCGACGAUCCAUAGCUGGUCUGAGAGGAUGAUCAGCCACACUGGGACUGAGACACGGCCCAGACUCCUACGGGAGGCAGCAGUGGGGAAUAUUGGACAAUGGGCGAAAGCCUGAUCCAGCAAUGCCGCGUGAGUGAUGAAGGCCUUAGGGUUGUAAAGCUCUUUACCCGAGAUGAUAAUGACAGUAUCGGGAGAAUAAGCUCCGGCUAACUCCGUG